rnacentral:tRNA from 1 species
UCCGGGGUGGUGUGCUGGCCCGCCGAGUAGAUUCUGGCUCUACCCUACGUAGGUUCGAUUCCUGCCCCCGGAG